UACGGAGGGUGCAAGCGUUAUCCGGAUUCACUGGGUUUAAAGGGUGCGCAGGCGGCCGAGUGUGUGAGGCGUGAAAGCCCGGGGCUUAACCCCGGAAUUGCACCUCAAACUACACGGCUAGAGCAUUGGAGAGGGUAGCAGAAUUCAUGGUGUAGCAGUGAAAUGCGUAGAUAUCAUGAGGAAUACCAGAGGCGAAGGCGGCUACCUGGACAAUUGCUGACGCUCAGGCACGAAAGCGUGGGGAGCAAAAGGG
rnacentral:rRNA from 1 species